rnacentral:tRNA from 2 species
CGGGUGUAGUUCAAUGGUAGAACAUCAGCCUUCCAAGCUGAUUGUGAGGGUUCGAUUCCCUUCACCC